rnacentral:rRNA from 1 species
GACGAACGCUGGCGGCGUGCUUAACACAUGCAAGUCGAGCGAUGAAGCUUCCUUCGGGAAGUGGAUUAGCGGCGGACGGGUGAGUAACACGUGGGUAACCUGCCUCAAAGUGGGGGAUAGCCUUCCGAAAGGAAGAUUAAUACCGCAUAAUAUGAGAGAAUCGCAUGAUUUUUUUAUCAAAGAUUUAUUGCUUUGAGAUGGACCCGCGGCGCAUUAGCUAGUUGGUAAGGUAACGGCUUACCAAGGCAACGAUGCGUAGCCGACCUGAGAGGGUGAUCGGCCACAUUGGAACUGAGACACGGUCCAGACUCCUACGGGAGGCAGCAGUGGGGAAUAUUGCGCAAUGGGGGAAACCCUGACGCAGCAACGCCGCGUGGGUGAUGAAGGUCUUCGGAUUGUAA